rnacentral:lncRNA from 1 species
AAUUCCAAAACCAACACCGAACAAGAAAAGAAAAAACUUCUUCUUCAGAAGCCAACCCAACCCCACUUUCACACACAUACACUGAGAUCAAAGUUCUUCUUCACACGGCUUAAUCACACCCACUUCCCUGUGUUUUUUCUCAUACCCAUAUACUUACACACAUACUUAAUUUCACAAUCUAAUUCAUACACACCAAUUCCUCUCUUACAAUUCAAUCAGCGGAAUAAGGUAACAGAAGCGGCAAAUUAGGGUUUUUUCGAAUUCAACGGUUGAGGGUUGGAGUAACAACGCUAGAUAGCGAGGUUAUCUUACCAGCGUAUUUAUCAAAUACGCUGGGCAACUUGAACUCGCGUUCAAGAUUUGUUUGGCUAGGGUUUGACUGCUUUGUUUGGCCCGAGAAGCAGCAUAAUUACUUGCUGGAAGUUUAGAGUUUGUGCGGCUAGAGUUCAGCGGAUUUGUUGGGAUUUCUAGGGUUUGGUGCGGAUUUGUCGGAAACUGGUUUGGAGCGGCGGUGACUCACUGUUGUUUUGACCCGAUUGAAUGAAGAUCUGAGUUGAGGGGUUUGGUUGAUUGCGGCGGCUGGUUGCAACGAAGACGAAAAACUGAUUUGCCGAUUAUCAACGGGCUGCGGCAGUAUCACAACGGUAAGUAUCCCAGCUGAUGUUAUGAUGAGCAAACGGUUUCAAGAAUCAGAAACACUGCUCUGAUACCAUCUGGUAUAGGGAAUAAUCUUUGUAAUGGUUUGAAUUGUAUUGAAAUUGUAUCAAACAAGAAUUAGGGUUACAAAGAAGAGUGUUUAUAUAGAACACCAAGUUACACAUUUAGCCCCUACACUACGACAUGUCGUUUACUUUCCGACAUGAGCUUAAAUGAGCUAGAGAGAGAGUGUAGAGACAACGAGUUGACGGAAAGCUUUGUAUGUGUGUAAUCUGUACCGAAACUCUGUCGAAUCGAAUGCACAGAAUCGUUAAACGGUGAAUCUUUAUUGUGUAAAACAUUCUCUCGCUCGGUUUGUAUCAUAGCUUGGAUUCCGCACUCGCUACGGCAUCCCAAACAAGAAAUCACGUUCGUCCGUCGAUACGCAUCAGGACCGACAACUGGUUUAUUAGUUUUAAUGAAUCGUGUAGUGAGAGAUUGACACUAUUCGAUUUACUUAGUGUUAAUUUCGUAAAUGUUUUUUGACAACCGGGUGUAGGUUUUAGAUAUGCAAAUGUGUUCAAUUUCAUUUAUGAACCAGGCUAAAACCUUGAAAGUAUGUUUCUUAUUUUGCUAGUGUAUAAUUCGAGCAGUGUUCAUGUGAUUAGUCUUUGCAUUUAACUUCUACUUUU